ACAAAUUGCAAUUGGCUAGUUGUGGUAAACAGAGAAAGACUGGAAAAAAAAAAUCACUUCCUUUGGCUAGGUUGGCAAGCCAGAAAGAGUUAGAGCCUUUAAUUUCUAAGACUAAAUCCUGAACGAGUAAAACAAGGAUACAUGCAUUGUUCAGCGCUGGCCCCGUGAGCUGGCCUAUCACCUCACUGUCCUGUGGAGACCUGCAGUACGGUGCUAUGUUGAAAGUACCAGGAAGAAAUACCAUUUGUGUGUUCAGUGUGGGACUCAGCUUGUGUGCAGGAUACAAGGUGUGCUGACAGGUGUGGAAUCAGGACAUUAAAAAGCCCGAAUGACGCUACUGCCCCAGCACUGGAAGGCUAUGUCUGAAAAACCAGAGAAGAGCCCAUCUCCUGCUAAGCCACCCAGUCCCUGGCAUCUCUGUUUGCUGUACUGAGGGUACUUUGUUCCCAGGUUGCUGGCCCCAAGCCAUGAUUCAUGUCACACAGGAAGCUGAGCCGCUGCCAGCUGGGAGCAGCUCCUGGUCACUGUCUCCAGUCAUCAGUGCAUGGCUGCAGCCUGUUAGCCUGGCUCCUGACUGCCCGCCUCGCAGGUCCAAGCAUUUGCUUUCUGUUUAGAGCCCUUGAGAUUGCAGUCUGUGCUAUGAGAAUGAAUGCAUUUAGAAAACACCAAGACUGAACUAAGCACCACGGGGCACCAGGAAUCUUUAGCUUCCAGACAUCAGUGCUGGCUGGAAGCAACGGCCAGAAACUAAGAUGGACCGAGUUCAAGCCCAAGAGCAGGACACUCUUCCUUGGCUAUGCUUCUCCCCAGAAUUAAUGCUCAUUAGGAGAUUCUUUAUCACAGCAGCCACAAGUCAGUCGUGCUUCCUUCCCGUAUGAUGCCAGUAUAAUUUUCAGUGAAACGGAGGGAUCAUGUCAUAAGUUCAAUGACAGCAAGCGGGUCAGGAGGGCACCGCUCCACCCCUCUGCAGCAGGGGAAGGGAGGAGACAACCCGUUUGUGACCACUUGGCUGCUUUAUAGUUGUGUUUGGGAGGACAUGAAAGAGGCCUGGAAAUUCCAGAGGGCUAUUUUAGGAAAUCCUUUACAAGUGCCUCUAGGAAAUGGGCUUUAUCCUAACAAUUCAAUUCAUUACAAUUAAUCAGUUGAUCCUGAAAGCAGGAGGAAAUUGUAUCAUGCACAUUUCAUACAGGAUUUACCUAAGUAUUCUGGUUUUUAGCGCUUUGGCACCUGCUGUUUGUCCUUUCGCCAGUACUUUCAGCUGGCAGCACCAAUACCUUUGUACCAGAAAGGUGGGCUUCCUCUUCUGGGAGCUUCACAAUGCUGCUGACAUCAGCAGCACCGCUGCAAGCUCAGUCCUUGUAAAGAGCACAGUGCACAUACACACAGUGCAUAGGCUGGUCUUCCAGCACACAGAAAUACAUGGAAAUGUUCAUUUUCACCAGCUGUAUUGAGGGAAGGUGCAGCC
rnacentral:lncRNA from 7 species